rnacentral:rRNA from 1 species
UGAUGGGAGCUUGCUCCCUGAUGUCAGCGGCGGACGGGUGAGUAACACGUGGGUAACCUGCCUGUAAGACUGGGAUAACUCCGGGAAACCGGGGCUAAUACCGGAUAGUUCUUUUCCUCGCAUGAGGAAAAGUGGAAAGGUGGCUUUUAGCUACCACUUACAGAUGGACCCGCGGCGCAUUAGCUAGUUGGUGAGGUAACGGCUCACCAAGGCAACGAUGCGUAGCCGACCUGAGAGGGUGAUCGGCCACACUGGGACUGAGACACGGCCCAGACUCCUACGGGAGGCAGCAGUAGGGAAUCUUCCGCAAUGGACGAAAGUCUGACGGAGCAACGCCGCGUGAGUGAUGAAGGUUUUCGGAUCGUAAAGCUCUGUUGUUAGGGAAGAACAAGUGCCGUUCAAAUAGGGCGGCACCUUGACGGUACCUAACCAGAAAGCCACGGCUAACUACGUGCCAGCAGCCGCGGUAAUACGUAGGUGGCAAGCGUUGUCCGGAAUUAUUGGGCGUAAAGCGCGCGCAGGCGGUCUCUUAAGUCUGAUGUGAAAGCCCACGGCUCAACCGUGGAGGGUCAUUGGAAACUGGGGGACUUGAGUACAGAAAAGGAAAGUGGAAUUCCACGUGUAACGGUGAAAUGCGU